AGAGUUUGAUCCUGGCUCAGAUUGAACGCUGGCGGCAUGCCUAACACAUGCAAGCCGAACGUGAAAGUCCCGCAAGGGAUGAGUAAAGUGGCGAACGGGUGAGUAAUACAUAGGUAAUCUACUUAUAAGUUUGGAAUAACAAUUCGAAAGGAUUGCUAAAUACCGAAUAAUAUACUUUAUCAUAUGGCAAAGUAUCAAAGGUGGCCUCUUCACAAUGCUAUCACUUAUAAAUGAGCCUAUGGACCAUUAGUUAGUUGGCAGGGUAAUAGCCUACCAAGACAAGAUGGUUAGCUGGUCUGAGAGGAUGACCAGCCACACUGGAACUGAAACACGGUCCAGACUCCUACGGAGGCGAC
rnacentral:rRNA from 1 species